UGCGCGCGCGAAGUUUCCCCAAUUCUCUCCGGAACGCGCGCGAAGACCCUCAUAUUCCCCAAUCCUCUCCCCUGUACAUGCGCGAAGAUUUUCCCCCAAAUCCCACUCCAACGGUGAGAGCGCCGCCAAAAGAGCACGCGCGAAGAUUCUCAUCCAUAGCCGCGUCGCCCGUGCCCUCUUCAAGCCAUCGCCGUUGCAGGCCUGGGAUGUCGCGGCUGCCGCUGCAGAGGGGCCGCCGCCGCCGCCGCCGCUGUUGCAGGGCUCCCGCGGCUGCCGCUGUAGAGGGGUCGCCGCCGCCGCUGCAGAGGGUCCGCCGCCGUGGAGCUUGACCGACCUGCCGCCCUCGACAACAGCUUCAGGCGGAGGUCUCCGUGCUGCUGCAACCCUGCCUCCCUAGAAGAAUCCUACCCUGCCUCCCUUGACUAGUACGUCCUCGAUCUGCAACCUACUCAACUAUGGAAAGGCGUCUUCUUCAACUUCAGAAUCAAGGCUCCAUUAGCAUCCCUCGUGCAUCCCUGUAUCCUGUCAUCACCGGCCGUUCGAUCAAAAUCCUGUGCCUGUUGUGCGUCCAGCGUCCUUUUGCAGAAAAGCGCCCGCAGCAGCCCAAGUCAGCCGUGUAAAGUUUCCUUGUACACCCCUCCUCCGCCCAGCAGCUCCCCCAAUUGGAGAUCUCCCAAAUCUCUUCGUUCCUCCAAUCCUCGAUCCCUGCUGCAGCCACGACGGAGUGCCACGACCUGGACGACAGCCGGCAACGAGCCACGACGUGGAUGAAAGCCGGCAAACAAUACCAGUGAUGGGUCGUGUUGGUUUCCGUCACGGCAGCAACCUGCGACGGCAACCUCGGAAGGAGAUUCAUGUCAGUGGUCGCCGCAUCAAUGGCCUGCAAUGGAGCAUGCGGGAAGGAGCGUGCGACGGAGCACAGGAUGAGGAGCCUGCAUGGGAGACCCGCGUAGGCGGCGGCAGCAUCCCGGCGACGGAGACCCGCGAAGGAGCGUGAGACGAGGCGACCAAUGCACUCGCCUGUCACUGCCACUGCAGUAGAUGGCCACAACUGUGAUCACUAGGUAGUACUACUAGUACUUUUUAGACGAACUCCUGUUGCGAAAUCGCAAUAGCAAUUGAUCUUGUAUGGAUGUGCCAAGAGCAAACAUGUAUUGCUGAAUGCAAAAUUCAGAAAACUGAAUUUCGGUUCUGUGAAUUAGUUAUCCAGAAAGUUGGGAGGGAGAGAAACAAGACAACAUUUGUUGGCUGCCUGAGCUCUCACAUGAGAAAUGAAUCUUCGCUGGACCUACACUCAAAGUUCAUUUAUCAUAUGACUGAUGACUGAAAAUGACAAUGUAAACUCUUUUGAAAGCUCUCAGUUUUCUCUGAAUUUAUAUUCUAUUUUUGAA